GAUGAACGCUGGCGGCGUGCCUAAUACAUGCAAGUCGAGCGAACGGACGAGAAGCUUGCUUCUCUGAUGUUAGCGGCGGACGGGUGAGUAACACGUGGAUAACCUACCUAUAAGACUGGGAUAACUUCGGGAAACCGGAGCUAAUACCGGAUAAUAUUUUGAACCGCAUGGUUCAAAAGUGAAAGACGGUCUUGCUGUCACUUAUAGAUGGAUCCGCGCUGCAUUAGCUAGUUGGUAAGGUAACGGCUUACCAAGGCAACGAUGCAUAGCCGACCUGAGAGGGUGAUCGGCCGCACUGGAACUGGGACACCGUCCAGACGCCUACGGGAGGCAGCAGUAGGGAAUCUGCCGCAAUGGGCGAAAGCCUGACGGAGCAACGCCGCGUGAGUGAUGAAGGUCUUCGGAUCGUAAAACUCUGUUAUUAGGGAAGAACAUAUGUGUAAGUAACUGUGCACAUCUUGACGGUACCUAAUCAGAAAGCCACGGCUAACUACGUG
rnacentral:rRNA from 1 species